UACGUAGGGCGCAAGCGUUGUCCGGAAUUAUUGGGCGUAAAGAGCUCGUAGGUGGCUUGUCACGUCGGGUGUGAAAGCUUGGGGCUUAACUCCAGGUCUGCAUUCGAUACGGGCUGGCUAGAGGUAGGUAGGGGAGAACGGAAUUCCUGGUGUAGCGGUGAAAUGCGCAGAUAUCAGGAGGAACACCAGUGGCGAAGGCGGCGACCUGGGCCAAUAUUGACGCUGAGGUGCGAAAGCGUGGGGAGCAAACAGG
rnacentral:rRNA from 1 species